rnacentral:misc_RNA from 1 species
GACAGGAAUGCGUGGGAUGGCUGCGCGCAAUGAGCUUCGAUUCAGAAGCCAGACAAAAGCAGCAAUUAUUAUUCAGAGUCAUUGUCGCAAGUUCUUGGCAUAUUCAAAAUUCAAGAAGCUCAAGAAAGCUGCAAUUACCACUCAGUGUGCUUGGAGAGGUAAAAUUGCUCGUAAGGAACUGAAGAAGCUUAAGAUGGCUGCACGGGAGACUGGGGCUCUGCAAGCUGCAAAGAAUAAAUUAGAGAAGCAAGUUGAAGAAUUAACUUGGAGAUUGCAGCUGGAGAAACGCAUGAGGGCGGAUGUUGAAGAAGCAAAAACACAAGAAAAUGCAAAACUACAAUCUGCUUUGCAGGAUAUCCAAGUUCAGUUCAAGGAAACCAAGGAAAUGCUUGUCAAAGAACGUGAAAAUGCAAUAAGGGCAGCCGAGCAGAUCCCUAUUGUACAGGAAGUCCCCGUUAUUGACCAUGAAUUGAUGAACAAACUUAGCAUUGAAAAUGAGAACUUAAAGACUAUGGUAAGCUCUCUAGAAAAGAAGAUUGGUGAAACAGAAAAAAAAUAUGAAGAGACAAAUAAACUUAGUGAGGAGAGGUUGAAGCAAGCGAUGGAGGCAGAGUCCAAGAUUAUUCAGUUGAAGACUUCUAUGCAAAGGCUUGAGGAGAAAAUUGUUGACAUGGAAUCUGAGAACAAGAUUCUUCGACAGCAGGGCCUGUUAACCCCUGCCAAGCGGGUUUCAGAUCAUUCACCUAGCCUGGCCUCCAAAAUUGUUGAAAAUGGACACCAUCUUGAUGAUGAAAACUAUACUAAUGAUGCACUAAGUUCCUCAACACCUUCUAGAAAUUUUGAAACCCCCGACAGCAAGAUGAGGAGACCUCCUGUUGAUCGACAGCAGCACGAGGAUGUUGAUGCACUCAUUGACUGUGUGAUGAAGGAUGUGGGGUUCAGCCAAGGAAAGCCUGUUGCAGCUUUUACCAUCUACAAAUGCCUUCUCCAUUGGAAAUCUUUUGAAGCUGAGAGGACCAGUGUGUUCGAUCGUUUGAUUCAGAUGAUUGGUUCAGCUAUUGAGAAUCAAGAAAGCAACGAUCACAUGGCGUAUUGGCUGUCGAAUACCUCAACUUUGUUGUUCUUAAUCCAAAAAAGUCUGAAACCAGGUGGUUCAGUUGGUGCAACUCCUACCCGCAAACCACAACCUCCGACAUCUCUAUUUGGGAGAAUGACAAUGGGCUUUCGUUCGUCGCCUUCUGCUGUCAACCUUGCUGCAGCUGCAGCUGCAUUGGUCGUGCGUCAAGUUGAAGCAAAAUACCCUGCUCUGCUUUUCAAGCAGCAGCUUACAGCAUAUGUUGAAAAGAUAUAUGGAAUUAUUAGAGAUAACUUGAAGAAGGAGUUGGGAUCACUCAUUUCCUUAUGCAUCCAGGCACCAAGGACUGCCAAAGGUAGUCUGAGAACUGGACGAUCCUUUGGCAAAGACUCUUCAACAAAUCAUUGGCAGCGGAUUAUUGAAUGCCUCAACUCUCUUCUCUGUACAUUGAAAGAAAAUUUUGUGCCUCCAAUUCUUGUUCAAAAGAUAUUUACUCAGACAUUCUCUUACAUUAAUGUACAACUGUUUAACAGUCUUCUUCUCCGAAGAGAGUGUUGUACAUUUAGUAAUGGGGAAUAUGUUAAAGCUGGGUUGGCUGAGUUAGAGCUAUGGUGCUGCCAAGCAAAAGAAGAGUAUGCAGGUUCCUCUUGGGAUGAACUCAAACAUAUUAGACAAGCUGUUGGGUUCUUGGUUAUUCAUCAGAAGUAUAGAAUAUCUUAUGAUGAGAUCACCAAUGACUUGUGUCCUAUUCUUAGUGUCCAGCAACUUUACAGAAUUUGUACGCUCUAUUGGGAUGACAACUAUAAUACACGAAGUGUUUCCCCAGAUGUCAUAUCAAGCAUGAGAGUGUUAAUGACAGAGGACUCAAACAAUGCCGAGAGCAACUCUUUUCUACUGGAUGAUAAUUCAAGCAUCCCGUUCUCUAUUGAUGAAGUCUCAGAAUCACUUCAAGUAAAGGAUUUUGCAGAUGUCAAACCUGCAACAGAACUUAUCGAGCAUCCAGCCUUCCCAUUUUUACACGAGUGAGGCCUAGGAACCUCGAGGGUUUCUUGCAUUAUAGUUACAGAUUUGUUGAAAAUAUCCUAGGUGGAUAUAUUCAAUUUGUUGUAUAUUCAUUCUUCUUAUUCCCUUUCAAUUUUUUAAUACCAAAUAUAGAUUGCUGUAAAAUAUAUUUUUUUUCCUUUUGUGUUUAUAAUUGUAAUUCCAAUAGCAUAAGGUUCAGAGUCAGCAAGUAGUCAAAUUUUGUAUUUGUUUUGGUGCAAAGAGCAGCAGCAACAACAUUCUUUUAUCAGGAAUAUAUAGGGCAAAGUAAUAGUGAUGGGGUGUAAAAGUUUUGUGUUCUGUCCACAUUUCAUUAUGUAAUGAAACAGAAAUAUUGAACUAAGCUAUUG